GAAUGGAAUACUAUCUGUCCUAAAGUUAAGCUUCAAUCAUUUGCCGCCACAUCUAAAGCAAUGCUUCGCAUACUGUGCAGUGUUUCCUAAAAAUUAUGGGAUAAGCAAGGAAAAGUUGAUCCGACAAUGGAUUGCAGAAGGCUUAAUUCAGAUUUCUACUCGUGCAUCUCUUGAUUGUUCGCAUCCAACUUUGGAAGACAUUGGAAAUGACUAUUUUUGUGAUUUACUGGAGAUGUCUUUUCUGGAAGAAGUGAAAACAUAUGAU
rnacentral:misc_RNA from 1 species